UGAGGAAUAUUGCGCAAUGGGGGGAACCCUGACGCAGCAACGCCGCGUGGAGGAUGAAGGUUUUCGGAUUGUAAACUCCUUAACUGGGGGAAGAGGGAGGACGGUACCCCAGGACGAAGACACGGCUAAGUACGUGCCAGCAGCCGCGGUAACACGUAGGUGUCGAGCGUUAUCCGGAAUUACUGGGCGUAAAGGGUGCGCAGGCGGCGGUGCAAGUCUGGCGUGAAAGCUCCUGGCUUAACUGGGAGAGGACGUUGGAAACUGCAUGGCUAGAGUGAAUGAGAGGGGGGCGGAAAUCCCGGUGUAGUGGUGGAAUGCGUAGAGAUCGGGAAGAACACCAGAGGCGAAGGCGGCCCCCUGGCAUUUGACUGACGCUGAGGCACGAAAGCGUGGGUAGCGAACGGGAUUAGAUACCCCUGUAGUCC
rnacentral:rRNA from 1 species